rnacentral:rRNA from 1 species
UACAGAGGGGGCAAGCGUUAUUCGGAAUUAUUGGGCGUAAAGGGCGCGUAGGCGGCCUGACAAGUGGAAGGUGAAAUCCCUCGGCUUAACCGAGGAACUGCCCUCCAAACUGUUUGGCUUGAGACCGGGAGAGGUGAGUGGAAUUCCCAGUGUAGCGGUGAAAUGCGUAGAUAUUGGGAGGAACACCAGUGGCGAAGGCGGCUCACUGGACCGGUACUGACGCUGAGACGCGAAAGCGUGGGGAGCGAACAGG